GAAUAGGGGAGCCGGAGGGAAACCGAGUCUUAAUUGGGCGUUAAGUUGCAGGGUAUAGACCCGAAACCCGGUGAUCUAGCCAUGGGCAGGUUGAAGGUUGGGUAACACUAACUGGAGGACCGAACCGACUAAUGUUGAAAAAUUAGCGGAUGACCUGUGGCUGGGGGUGAAAGGCCAAUCAAACCGGGAGAUAGCUGGUUCUCCCCGAAAGCUAUUUAGGUAGCGCCUCGUGAAUUCAUCUCCGGGGGUAGAGCACUGUUUCGGCUAGGGGGCCAUCCCGGCUUACCAACCCGAUGCAAACUGCGAAUACCGGAGAAUGUUAUCACGGGAGACACACGGCGGGUGCUAACGUCCGUCGUGAAGAGGGAAACAACCCAGACCGCCAGCUAAGGUCCCAAAGUCAUGGUUAAGUGGGAAACGAUGUGGGAAGGCCCAGACAGCCAGGAUGUUGGCUUAGAAGCAGCCAUCAUUUAAAGAAAGCGUAAUAGCUCACUGGUCGAGUCGGCCUGCGCGGAAGAUGUAACGGGGCUAAACCAUGCACCGAAGCUGCGGCAGCGAACGUAUCACUUAAAGCGAUUCAGCGGGUUACGAUUGACGGAGCGAAGCGACGUCAAAGCGUAUACAAAGUCGAGUCGGUUUAAGGAUACGUUCGUUGGGUAGGGGAGCGUUCUGUAAGCCUGUGAAGGUGGCCUGUGAGGGUUGCUGGAGGUAUCAGAAGUGCGAAUGCUGACAUAAGUAACGAUAAAGCGGGUGAAAAGCCCGCUCGCCGGAAGACCAAGGGUUCCUGUCCAACGUUAAUCGGGGCAGGGUGAGUCGACCCCUAAGGCGAGGCCGAAAGGCGUAGUCGAUGGGAAACGGGUUAAUAUUCCCGUACUUGGUGUUACUGCGAAGGGGGGACGGAGAAGGCUAUGUUGGCCGGGCGACGGUUGUCCCGGUUUAAGCGUGUAGGUGUGUGUUCCAGGUAAAUCCGGUU
rnacentral:rRNA from 1 species